GGAGUAACAGAUAUUGUUAUCUCGUGUCAGCUGAUUCUUUAUUGUGUCAGUUUUUGUGUCAGCUACCAUUAGAUAUGGUCAAAUACCUAUUACUUGACAAUUUGGUGUCAGGUAUUUUGGGAAUAGGUUUUAUUGGUGAGUAUUUUAAGCCUUAAGACUCUUUGAAUGGAGGUAAAGGUCUUCCGUCAGAGGAAAAUUCAGGACCUAAUGAUAUGCAGGACAGAAAAGAUUACUUAAUAUUUGAAUUUUGGGGAUUUUAAUUAGCAGGAAUAAAUUUGGGUCUUGCAAUGUAAAUAAAGGAAAAUAAGAUACAUAUAUAUAUCUAUACAUAAAUAAUUACUUUUAUAUUGGUGAUUUUUGUUUAAAAAAGAAGCAAAUGUUGUUACAUAAAUUGGUAGAGUCAGAGUUUUUGUAACAAUAUGUUUUGGAUGAUUAUUGGAAAUUUAAUAAAAUAGGUUUCAGUUGGAUACUGGACAUAGGCUUCAGUUGGAUACUGGACAAAAGUUGAUUAGAUUAUUGAGUUGAAUGAAGUUUAUGGAAUAAUGUGGAUGGACAAUGGGUAAAUGUGAGAAGGGAUCCAUUUACAGGUUGCAUUGUUUUUGAACAUUAUUGGUGAUGAUAUUAGCAUGAUUAAUAGAUUUUUUUUUUAUAUUUUAUUUUCACAAUAAAUAUGUAACAAUUUUUGAUACUUAUUUUAUUUGUUUCAAAAUUUAAAUUUUAGAUUGUAAUAAAUAUUUUCAUUAUGUUUAUGUCAGACAAUCAUAUAUUUUAAUAUUUCAACCAAUGUUAAUAAUUGAGUGAAAUAUUUUGCACUUUAUUUUUAAAAUCCAAGAGUUUAUUGAGAUACACCAUCACAUUAAUAACAUAUAUAUUAAUCUUCAAUGAAAUGAUAUGUUGAUAUUGUUGUUUUCCUUGCAUUAUCCAAAAAUAUUUUUGUAAGUUGGGUAAGAAUUAUUCUGAGCCCAUUUUGAUAUGUAGCUUUUUAAUUCUUGUAUUACCAUAUUCCUGUGGUAUCCUAAUUGGGGUUAAAAUUUAUUAAGUAACAAUAACAUAUUUGUAGAUCUGUUAUUGUUUGUACAAUGAAAUUUAUUGUAUCAUACAUUUUUUUUUUGAAAUUUCAGUGGUACGUUCAAAUAAAAUAUUACCAUUCAUAUAUUUUUUUGAAAAGAUUCAAGUUUCCUCUAAUUGAUCAUAUUAUAUGUUUUGAUUGUUAUUUUGAGAAAGUAAUAUAUAUAUGUCUCAUUUGACCCCUGAUGUGUUGGAGGAUACAGAUAGUGGAAGUGUGGCAGCAAUAAUGAUCAAGAGCUAUGACUCAGACGAAAAUUAAUAUCAAGAGCUAUGACUCGAACGUAAUGAUGGAACGAUGUGAGGAUGAUCAAAUAAACGAUGAGAGAUGAAGCAAAGGGGCAAAAUUACAUGAAAAUGAAUCGAACGUAUACAAUAAAUUUAAAAAAAAAAAAUAAUAAUACUUUUGGGAUAAUGUAACACCGGGUUUUUUGAAGGGCGGGUAUGUUGUGUUUUGUACUUUUACAAUUACGCAUAUAUAUAAUUUUAGAUACGAGAUGUCAGUUAACUUCUACAUUAUAUGUAGUCAUACAUAUAUAUUUAUAUAUAGGAGAUGUCAGUUAUUUUCAACGUUAUUUGUAUUCAUACAUAUAUUAAUUAUCAUUGUCUUGGAUUUUCUUUUGUUUUGUAUUCGGUAAAAUCAUCUGGUAAUAUUCAGAAAAUAAAGUAGUGCAAAUCAAAUAUUCUUUUCCGGAAGGUUGGAAAGUAAGUAAGAUAAGGAGGUGGAGAGGUAAGGGAAUGUUUUUUUUUACAAGGUCCAUAACCAAAAACU